UGACCUCGGAUCAGGUAGGAAUCCC
rnacentral:rRNA from 1 species